CCCUUAGAUGUUCUGGGCCGCACACGCGCUACACUGACGAUGGCAACGAGUUUUUCCUUCGCCGAAAGGUGUGGGUAAUCUUUUGAAACAUCGUCGUGCUGGGGAUAGAUCAUUGCAAUUUUUGAUCUUGAACGAGGAAUUCCUAGUAAGCGCGAGUCAUCAGCUCGCGUUGAUUACGUCCCUGCCCUUUGUACACACCGCCCGUCGCUACUACCGAUUGAAUGGUUUAGUGAGGACUCCUGAUUGGCGCCGCCGCCCCGGCAACGGAGCAGCGGACUGCCGAAAAGUUGUUCAAACUUGAUCAUUUAGAGGAAGUAAAAGUCGUAACA
rnacentral:rRNA from 1 species